AAGUUGACCUCGGAUCAGGUAGGGAUACCCGCUGAACUUAAGCAUAUCAAUAAGCGGAGGAAAAGAAACCAACAGGGAUUGCCCCAGUAACGGCGAGUGAAGCGGCAACAGCUCAAAUUUGAAAUCUGGCCCCCCCCGCGGGGCCCGAGUUGUAAUUUGCAGAGGAUGCUUUUGGCGCGGCGCCUUCCGAGUUCCCUGGAACGGGACGCCACAGAGGGUGAGAGCCCCGUCUGGUCGGACGCCUAGCCUGUGUAAAGCUCCUUCGACGAGUCGAGUAGUUUGGGAAUGCUGCUCAAAAUGGGAGGUAUAUGUCUUCUAAAGCUAAAUACCGGCCAGAGACCGAUAGCGCACAAGUAGAGUGAUCGAAAGAUGAAAAGCACUUUGAAAAGAGGGUUAAACAGUACGUGAAAUUGUUGAAAGGGAAGCGCUUGUGACCAGACUUGGGCCCGGUGAAUCACCCAGCGUUCUCGCUGGUGCACUUCGCCGGGCUCAGGCCAGCAUCGGUUCGCGGCGGGGGACAAAGGCUUCGGGAACGUGGCUCCUCCGGGAGUGUUAUAGCCCGUUGCGCAAUACCCCGCGGCGGACCGAGGUUCGCGCUCCGCAAGGAUGCUGGCGUAAUGGUCACCAGCGACCCGUCUUGAAACACGGACCAAGGAGUCGUCUUCGUAUGCGAGUGUUCGGGUGUGAAACCCCUACGCGUAAUGAAAGUGAACGCAGGUGAGAGCUUCGGCGCAUCAUCGACCGAUCCUGAUGUUCUCGGAUGGAUUUGAGUAAGAGCAUACGGGGCCGGACCCGAAAGAAGGUGAACUAUGCCUGUGUAGGGUGAAGCCAGAGGAAACUCUGGUGGAGGCUCGCAGCGGUUCUGACGUGCAAAUCGAUCGUCAAACAUGGGCAUGGGGGCGAAAGACUAAUCGAACCU
rnacentral:rRNA from 1 species